rnacentral:rRNA from 1 species
GACAGAGGGUGCAAACGUUGCUCGGAAUCACUGGGCGUAAAGGGCGUGUAGGCGGGAAAGUAAGUCGGGCGUGAAAUCCCUAGGCUCAACCUAGGAACUGCACUCGAAACUACUUUCUUGAGUGCCGGAGAGGAAAGCGGAAUUCCUGGUGUAGAGGUGAAAUUCGUAGAUAUCAGGAGGAACACCAGUGGCGAAGGCGGCUUUCUGGACGGUAACUGACGCUGAGACACGAAAGCGUGGGUAGCAAACAGG